rnacentral:rRNA from 1 species
AGAGUUUGAUCAUGGCUCAGAACGAACGCUGGCGGCGUGGAUAAGACAUGCAAGUCGAGCGCUGAUCACGAGGUAGCAAUAUUUCGUGGUUGGAGCGGCGCAAGGGUGCGUAACACGUGGGUAAUCUGCCAUGAAGUUCGGGAUAACUCGCUGAAAGGCGAGCUAAUACCGGAUGUGACAACUGGAAGGCAUCUUUUGGUUGUUAAAGCUGGGGACCGUAAGGCCUGGCGCUUCUUGAUGAGCCCGCGGCCUAUCAGCUAGUUGGUGAGGUAACGGCCCACCAAGGCUAAGACGGGUAGCUGGUCUGAGAGGACGACCAGCCACACUGGAACUGAGACACGGUCCAGACACCUACGGGUGGCAGCAGUCGAGAAUUUUUCACAAUGGGCGCAAGCCUGAUGGAGCGACGCCGCGUGGGGGAUGAAUGGCUUCGGCCCGUAAACCCCUGUCAUUUGCGAUCAACCGUUAUUAUUUAAAAGAUGAUAACCUGAUAGUAGCGAAAGAGGAAGGGACGGCUAACUCUGUGCCAGCAGCCGCGGUAAUACAGAGGUCCCGAGCGUUGUUCGGAUUCACUGGGCGUAAAGGGUGCGUAGGUGGCUGGGUAAGUCGGAUGUGAAAUCUCGGAGCUCAACUCCGAAACUGCAUUGGAAACUGCCCGGCUCGAGGGUUGGAGGGGGGACUGGAAUUCUCGGUGUAGCAGUGAAAUGCGUAGAUAUCGAGAGGAACACCAGUGGCGAAGGCGAGUCCCUGGACAACUCCUGACACUAAGGCACGAAAGCUAGGGGAGCAAACAGGAUUAGAUACCCUAGUAGUCC